UGCCAGCAGCCGCGGUAAUACGAAGGGACCUAGCGUUAAUCGGAAUUACUGGGCGUAAAGCGUGCGUAGGCGGUUUAUUAAGUCAGAUGUGAAAGCCCCGGGCUUAACCUGGGAACUGCAUUUGAUACUAUCUUACUAGAGAACGAGAGAAGUUGGCGGAAUUCCAAGUGUAGAGGUGAAAUUCGUAGAUAUUUGGAAGAACACCAGUGGCGAAGGCGGCUCACUGGCUCGAUACUGACGCUGAGGUGCGAAAGUGUGGGGAGCAAACAGGAUUAGAUA
rnacentral:rRNA from 1 species